rnacentral:rRNA from 1 species
ACGAACGCUGGCGGCGUGCCUAAUACAUGCAUGUCGAACGGUCUUUCUAUGGAAGCUUGCUUCCACUGAGAAGAUAGUGGCGAACGGGUGAGUAACACGUGGGUAACCUGCCCAUAAGAGGGGGAUAACAUCCGGAAACGGGUGCUAAUACCGCAUAGUUUUCUUGAUCGCAUGAUCGGGAAAGGAAAGACGGCCUUUGUGCUGUCGCUUAUGGAUGGACCCGCGGCGUAUUAGUUAGUUGGUGAGGUAACGGCUCACCAAGACGAUGAUACGUAGCCGACCUGAGAGGGUGAUCGGCCACAUUGGGACUGAGACACGGCCCAAACUCCUACGGGAGGCAGCAGUAGGGAAUCUUCCGCAAUGGACGAAAGUCUGACGGAGCAACGCCGCGUGAGUGAAGAAGGUUUUCGGGAAUCGUAAAACUCUGUUGUCAGAGAAGAACAAGUUGGAGAGUAACUGCUCCAGCCUUGACGGUAUCUGACCAGAAAGCCACGGCUAACUACGUGCCAGCAGCUGC